GCUUGCUCUCCGGAUCAGUGGCGAACGGGUGAGUAACACGUGAGCAACCUGCCCCGGACUCUGGGAUAACAGCUGGAAACAGCUGCUAAUACCGGAUACGAGCUGCGAAGGCAUCUUCAGCAGCUGGAAAGAAUUUCGGUCCGGGAUGGGCUCGCGGCCUAUCAGCUUGUUGGUGAGGUAACGGCUCACCAAGGCGUCGACGGGUAGCCGGCCUGAGAGGGUGACCGGCCACACUGGGACUGAGACACGGCCCAGACUCCUACGGGAGGCAGCAGUGGGGAAUAUUGCACAAUGGGCGAAAGCCUGAUGCAGCAACGCCGCGUGAGGGACGACGGCCUUCGGGUUGUAAACCUCUUUUAGCAGGGAAGAAGCGAAAGUGACGGUACCUGCAGAAAAAGCGCCGGCUAACUACGUGCCAGCAGCCGCGGUAAUACGUAGGGCGCAAGCGUUAUCCGGAAUUAUUGGGCGUAAAGAGCUCGUAGGCGGUCUGUCGCGUCUGCUGUGAAAACCCGAGGCUCAACCUCGGGCCUGCAGUGGGUACGGGCAGACUAGAGUGCGGUAGGGGAGAUUGGAACUCCUGGUGUAGCGGUGGAAUGCGCAGAUAUCAGGAAGAACACCGAUGGCGAAGGCAGAUCUCUGGGCCGUAACUGACGCUGAGGAGCGAAAGGGUGGGGAGCAAACAGGCUUAGAUACCCUGGUAGUCCACCCCGUAAACGUUGGGAACUAGUUGUGGGGUCCAUUCCACGGAUUCCGUGACGCAGCUAACGCAUUAAGUUCCCCGCCUGGGGAGUACGGCCGCAAGGCUAAAACUCAAAGGAAUUGACGGGGACCCGCACAAGCGGCGGAGCAUGCGGAUUAAUUCGAUGCAACGCGAAGAACCUUACCAAGGCUUGACAUAUAGAGGAAACGGCUGGAAACAGUCGCCCCGCAAGGUCUCUAUACAGGUGGUGCAUGGUUGUCGUCAGCUCGUGUCGUGAGAUGUUGGGUUAAGUCCCGCAACGAGCGCAACCCUCGUUCUAUGUUGCCAGCACGUAAUGGUGGGAACUCAUGGGAUACUGCCGGGGUCAACUCGGAGGAAGGUGGGGAUGACGUCAAAUCAUCAUGCCCCUUAUGUCUUGGGCUUCACGCAUGCUACAAUGGCCGGUACAAAGGGCUGCAAUACCGUAAGGUGGAGCGAAUCCCAAAAAGCCGGUCCCAGUUCGGAUUGAGGUCUGCAACUCGACCUCAUGAAGUCGGAGUCGCUAGUAAUCGCAGAUCAGCAACGCUGCGGUGAAUACGUUCCCGGGUCUUGUACACACCGCCCGUCAAGUCAUGAAAGUCGGUAACACCUGAAGCCGGUGGCCCAACCCUUGUGGAGGGAGCCGUCGAAGGUGGGAUCGGUAAUUAGGACUAAGUCG
rnacentral:rRNA from 1 species